GACAGAGGUGCCGAGCGUUAGGCGGAAUCACUGGGCUUAAAGCGUGUGUAGGCGGAUCGUUAAGUACCUUGUGAAAUCCCACGGCUUAACCGUGGAACUGCUUGGUAUACUGGCGAUCUUGAGCCACCUAGGGGCAACCGGAACAAACGGUGGAGCGGUGAAAUGCGUAGAUAUCGUUUGGAACGCCAAUGGUGAAAACAGGUUGCUGGGAGUGUGCUGACGCUGAGACACGAAAGCCAGGGGAGCGAACGGG
rnacentral:rRNA from 1 species